rnacentral:rRNA from 1 species
UACGUAGGGACCAAGCGUUGUUCGGAUUUACUGGGCGUAAAGGGCGCGUAGGCGGCAAUUCAAGUCAUCUGUGAAAUCUCCGGGCUUAACCCGGAACGGUCAGGUGAUACUGUUUUGCUAGAGUGCGGAAGGGGCAAUCGGAAUUCUCGGUGUAGCGGUGAAAUGCGUAGAUAUCGAGAGGAACACCAGAGGUGAAGACGGGUUGCUGGGCUGACACUGACGCUGACAGCGCGAAAGCCAGGGGAGCAAACGGG